AAUCUGAGGAAGAAGUAGAGGAGCCUGAAGAAAGACAGCAAACACCUGAGGUGGUACCUGAUGAUUCUGGAACUUUCUAUGAUCAGACUGUCAGCAAUGACUUGGAAGAACAUUUAGAGGAGCCUGUUGCUGAACCAGAGCCUGAUCCUGAACCAGAACCAGAGCAAGAACCCGCAUCUGAAAUCCAAGAGGAAAAGUCUGAGCCGGUAUUAGAAGAACCUGCUCCUGAGGAUGCUCAGAAGAGUUCUUCUCCAGCACCUACAGAUAUAGCUCAAACAGUACAGGAAGACUUGAGG
rnacentral:lncRNA from 1 species